UGGGCAACCUGCCCUCAGCUCUGGGAUAAACUCCGGGAAACCGGGGCUAAUACCGGAUACGACCUUCCCUCGCAUGGGGGUUGGUGGAAAGUUCUUCGGCUGAGGAUGGGCCCGCGGCCUAUCAGCUUGUUGGUGGGGUGAUGGCCUACCAAGGCGACGACGGGUAGCCGGCCUGAGAGGGCGACCGGCCACACUGGGACUGAGACACGGCCCAGACUCCUACGGGAGGCA
rnacentral:rRNA from 1 species